UACGAAGGGUGCGAGCGUUAAUCGGAAUUACUGGGCGUAAAGAGCUCGUAGGCGGUUUGUCGCGUCGAAUGUGAAAACCCGGGGCUCAACCCCGGGCCUGCAUUCGAUACGGGCAGACUAGAGUUCGGUAGGGGAGUCUGGAAUUCCUGGUGUAGCGGUGAAAUGCGCAGAUAUCAGGAGGAACACCGGUGGCGAAGGCGGGACUCUGGGCCGAUACUGACGCUGAGGAGCGAAAGCGUGGGGAGCAAACAGG
rnacentral:rRNA from 1 species